rnacentral:piRNA from 1 species
GGACGUGCUCUUGAUGUGCCCUAAGUC